UACAGAGGUGGCAAGCGUUGUUCGGAAUUACUGGGCGUAAAGGGCUCGUAGGCGGCCAACUAAGUCGGAUGUGAAAUCCCCAGGCUCAACUUGGGAACUGCAUCCGAUACUGGAUGGCUUGAAUUCGGGAGAGGGAUGCAGAAUUCCAGGUGUAGCGGUGAAAUGCGUAGAUAUCUGGAGGAAUACCGGUGGCGAAGGCGGCAUCCUGGACCGACAUUGACGCUGAGGAGCGAAAGCUAGGGGAGCAAACGGGG
rnacentral:rRNA from 1 species